AGCCGCAUAGAGCAGUCCGGUAGCUCGUCAGCCUCAUAAGCUGAAGGUCGCGGGUUCAAAUCCCGCUGUGGCAACCA
rnacentral:tRNA from 2 species